UUAACGCGAAAGGACUUACCAAGGCUUGACAUGCUCCGGACGCGCCCGGAGACGGGUGUUCCCCUUUGGGGUCGGUGCACAGGUGGUGCAUGGUUGUCGUCAGCUCGUGUCGUGAGAUGUUGGGUUAAGUCCCGCAACGAGCGCAACCCUUGUCCCAUGUUGCCAGCACUUCGGGUGGGAACUCAUGGGAGACUGCCGGGGUCAACUCGGAGGAAGGGGGGGGAGACGUCAAAUCAUCAUGCCCCUUAUGUCUUGGGCUUCACGCAUGCUACAAUGGCCGGUACAAAGGGUUGCGAUGCCGCGAGGUGGAGCUAAUCCCAGAAAGCCGGUCUCAGUUCGGAUCGGGGUGUGCAACUCGACCCCGUGAAGCGGAGUCGGUAGUAAUCGCAGAUCAGCAACGCGGUGGGAAUAUGACAU
rnacentral:rRNA from 1 species